UACGUAGGGUGCAAGCGUUGCCCGGAAUUAUUGGGCGUAAAGAGCUCGUAGGCGGUUUGUCGCGUCUGCUGUGAAAACCCGAGGCUCAACCUCGGGCCUGCAGUGGGUACGGGCAGACUAGAGUGCGGUAGGGGAGACUGGAAUUCCUGGUGUAGCGGUGAAAUGCGCAGAUAUCAGGAGGAACACCGGUGGCGAAGGCGGGUCUCUGGGCCGUAACUGACGCUGGAGGAGCGAAAGCGUGGGGAGCGAACAGG
rnacentral:rRNA from 1 species